rnacentral:rRNA from 1 species
GGGGGAUAACGUCGGGAAACGGGCGCUAAUACCGCAUACGUCCUGAGGGAGAAAGUGGGGGAUCUUCGGACCUCACGCUAUCAGAUGAGCCUAGGUCGGAUUAGCUAGUUGGUGGGGUAAAGGCCUACCAAGGCGACGAUCCGUAACUGGUCUGAGAGGAUGAUCAGUCACACUGGAACUGAGACACGGUCCAGACUCCUACGGGAGGCAGCAGUGGGGAAUAUUGGACAAUGGGCGAAAGCCUGAUCCAGCCAUGCCGCGUGUGUGAAGAAGGUCUUCGGAUUGUAAAGCACUUUAAGUUGGGAGGAAGGGCAGUAAGUUAAUACCUUGCUGUUUUGACGUUACCAACAGAAUAAGCACCGGCUAACUUCGUGCCAGCAGCCGCGGUAAUACGAAGGGUGCAAGCGUUAAUCGGAAUUACUGGGCGUAAAGCGCGCGUAGGUGGUUCAGCAAGUUGGAUGUGAAAUCCCCGGGCU